rnacentral:rRNA from 1 species
UACGUAGGGCGCGAGCGUUGUCCGGAAUUAUUGGGCGUAAAGAGCUCGUAGGCGGUCUGUUGCGUCCGCUGUGAAAACUCGGGGCUUAACCCCGAGCCUGCAGUGGAUACGGGCAGACUAGAGGUAGGUAGGGGAGAAUGGAAUUCCCGGUGUAGCGGUGAAAUGCGCAGAUAUCGGGAGGAACACCGAUGGCGAAGGCGGUCAGC